AGCUUUGCGCAGUGGCGAUAUCGUAACCAAUGAGGUACAACCGAGGUGCGAUUAUUGCUAGUUGAAAAAAACUCAUUGUAGCCAUACUUUCGUGAGGAAUUAUUGAUUCUAAUGUGAAAUGUGAUUA
rfam:Anopheles culicifacies strain species A-37_1 cont1.9731, whole genome shotgun sequence.